ACUCACUGGCCCCGCCCCCUAACCCUCAUGGCCUCCCAUUGGCCCGGCGUCCUCCUCGGCGUCGUGACGUCCUCGGGCAGGUUGAGGUGUGGCUCGCGUGCUGCUCGCACUGGGCUGGGCGGCCUGCCUUUUCUAAAUGGCAGGCAAGUUCCCGCGCCUUAGUUACGUGUCAUGUGCGGGUAGGGACUGCACAAGCUGCACGGUUCUGCACUCCAGACGGAUUCUCAGCCCGGCGGCGCGACGACCUCUGCCAAGAAUGCCCUUAGGGGAUCUAAAUGCUAUUAAAGAAAAAUGCCCUGGAAUCAGAUUCGAAAAUAACGGGAAAUCUUCAAACCUUGUUUCCCUGUCUCUUCUGUUUCCACGUGAAUUUUAGGAGUGAUUUGCCUAGAUCUAUGAGGUAUGUUGACGGUAUUUUUGUUGAGAUUGCAUUGAAUCUGUAUAAGAGUUUUGGGAGAAUGGCCAUUUUCACAAUAUUUAUUCUUCCCAUCCAUGAGCAAAGGAUAUCUUUCCAUUUUCAGAGAUCCUCUUCAGUCUCUUUUUUUCAGUGAUUAUAAUUUUCCCUGUAUAGAUCUUUCACUUCUUUCGUGAGAAUAAUUCUUACCAGGCACUAUUCUAAGAACCUCGCACACAUUUGUAUAGAUUGUCUAUAUACCAUAAAAAGCUAAGGAGAACAAGAAAUGAAUCCACUAACACAGGCUGAGGUAGACUGGGCAAACCUACUUUGAGGUCACUGAAAUACCAUGCUGUGUCAUGGUUGGUAAAGCUAUUGGGAUCGUUCUUCCCGUCUGUAAUUCCCUUCAUUCUCUCUGUGUCUAGUCCUACCUACUGCAACUUCCAAAACCUGUUGAGGAAGCCUGUCCCCAACACCUCCCCUUGCAGAAUGCAUCACUCCUUCAUGCUACAGCUUAUGCAUGUUUCUGGUAUCGUGUGAGUAACCAGAGUGCCUCCUACACAGUAUGGGUGCAGCCAUUGUGCCUCCUAGUUUAUUCUUCAAAUGCCAAUAUUUGAGCCCACACAAUGCCCUAAUAAUACAGCAGGCGGAAGACAGAUUCUUUUAGCCACAUUCCCUUUAUGCAUUUAAGGUGUGCCAUGUUUAAGAGGGACCUGACAGUAUUAUAGAGAGUUAAGUUACGUUAAAAAAAAAUACUGUACAUAGGCAGAUAGGGCUAGGCGGAGAGAGAGUCAAUACAGUAGGUGAAAACACAUUACAACUGUGGCCAGAGACACACUAGUUGGAAGGCUGCCCUCAAGAUAAGGACAGAAUAACCAGGCCUACAUGCCUUUCCAAGGAUUAGAUAAGUGGUUAAUACCCGAUCCUAUGAAGUCUAGAUAGAUAUUAGUUACCUCAGUGGACCCAUCCUUUUCUGAUUCGUUUUUCUUUCUAUGUACCCUUGUUACAUGACCUUUUUCUCCAUUGGACCAAUAUUACCUAAGUGGUAUACUUACAAUCUUAUUGGUUGAUCAUAGCUCUAAGCCCACAUUUUACCCACCUCAUGAUUUUGCUCUGUAAAUUUUUUCUUUGUGAGUGAGGUCCAUAGCAACACACUUGCAUCAUGUCCUGUCUGUCUUGGGACAUGUCUGUCUAUUGUAAUCAGAGUUUGCAAGAGAAUAGAUUCAAUGUAGUACAUAAUUUAUACGAUUGUUUUAUAAUAUUCAGUCAAAAAGUCAAAUACAGAAGAAUGCAGGAGAUAUGUCCAUAUACUAGAGACCCAAAGAAUCCAGCUGAAGGCCUGGACCCCCCAGCAAAGUCCCACAGAAGUCCAGCUAAAAGCCUAGAGCUCAUGGCUGUGUCCUCCACAAGUCCAACUGUAGAUCUUAGAGCCCAUGACAAUGUCUCCUGCAAGCCUCUUUCACAUCUCUGCACUGGAAAGGCCCAAAGCUCAGUGGUGGAAGCUAGAAAGGCUGUGUCAGUGGUAUAAAAGAUCUGUGCCAGCAGGCUGAGGGAUCUGCACUGGAGCCAGGAAGUGAUGCUAGGUAAGGACCAGAGCUUCCUUGAAGAGAACCUUAGCCGUCCUCAGUGGCAUUAAGGACCUGAGCUCUUCUGAUGAUGAGAAUAGCUGAGUUCACAUCAGGAAAGUUUCUCCAGGAAACAGCAAUAGCCACCACCCCCCCUUCCCCUCCAGUUCUUUUAUGCUGCUGGCAACAAUCCGUAGGUGGGCCUUCCACACUAGAACCAGGCUGAUUCAGUUCAUCUGGGUGUUACAAGUCAACCAUUAGUUAAUCCACCACAAUAUCUCAAUGAAAUUUCCUACUCUUAACCUCCUUUGUUCCUUUAGAAUUUACUUGAUUUUGAAGAACAUAAACUCAGCCCACAGACAGCUAACAGGUUGGGAGUUACAUUUAUUUCUCUUACAUAAUCUGAAGGUUUUAUAGCAAAAGGAGUGGCUCCGUUUAAAGCCACAAGGGCGGCUGUGGCAAAACUAGCCAUGUGUCCUUGAAUUCCAGGAGGUGUCUAUUUUCUGGGGUUAGCUGCCUAUAUUCUAGAACUGUCUUAUAGGAAGGGCACUGGCCAAAUUCUUAGCAGUGAGGAGUCAUGCUGAGGCACUGACUACUGAGUGAUAAUUAGCUUGGGAACAAGGUAGCAAAACUAUUUAGCAGAUGAUCUAAAGAAAACAAAAGGGAAGGUUUUUCCCCCAUAGAUAACUGAUAGUUGGUCAGCUCACUGUCAAAGUCUGGGCCAGAAUGGUAUUUUUCCUGCCUGCUUCAGCUUCACCCUGAUUGCAGACUCUGCAGGCUCGGAAAGGGAGCCUGAGAUUUCAAAAUGAUUAGUUCUUUCUAUUUCCACACACAGCUGGCUACCUCUUGAGUUUAUUCUCAGUAGUGCUAGAUCAGGAUUGGAUCUAACUUUUAUCACCUGAAGAACUUAGCGCUAUUAUCCUCUGUUCUUCCCUAGUGACUAAUUUCCCUAGAAGAAAAAAAAAGCUAAUUAGAUACAGUUUUUUCUUUGUCUUUCCUGAAGAACAACUGAAGUUACUAAUCUAUGCAAAAGAGGGUUGAGAGCUCAGUAAUUCCAAGGCUAUUUGCUUUUUAAUGCUAACCAACAUAGAGAAAAAUGAAAUCACUAGUAGGUCUCUUGUGGCGAUAAACUCUACUGCACACAUGUGUAUCUAUUUAUUUAUGUAUUUAUACAUUUAUUUAUCUUAGUAUUGGAGAGCAAACCCAGGACUUUAUGCAUAUAAUCCAUAUGCUCAACCACCAAGCUAUACCUUAAACCUAUUUUAAUAUAUUUUAUUCCCAUCUUGCAUUAGUCAGCUUUCUGUUAUUAUAAUAAAUGCGAGUUAAUCAACUUCAAAAAGUUUAUUGUCCAAGUUGAGGCUCACAGUUUUGGAAGUUGCAGUCCAUGGUCGAUUGGUCCUAUUGCUUUUGAGACUGUGGCAGGAAGCAGUAUAUAAACAUAAGCAGCAUAUGAUAUAACAAAGUUGCCCACCUCAUGGCUGGAAAGUAAAAAAGAAUAAGGAAGCUUGGGGAUUCCAGCAUCCCAUUUGACUGCAUGUCCCCAAAGACCAGAAGACUACCUGUUAAACUCCAGGUAUUAAAGGUUCCUAUCAGGGGCUGGGGAUUUAGCUCAGCAGCAUAAGCACCUGCCUUGCAAGCAUGCAGUCGUGAGUUCGAUCCCUGGUACCAAUAAAAAAAAAAAAGUUUCUAUCACCUUCCAACCGUGCUAAGCCGGGGACCAAGGCUUUAACACAUGAGCUUUGGGGGUACGCUUAAGAUCCAAACUAUAGGAUAUCUCCUUACUUGGCCUUAAGACUUCUAGAUUAUGCCUUUUGUCUUUACAUGCCAGCACCUAGCAAAUUAUCUAACAUAGUUUUGGUAAUUGUUAUUGCAGUAGUAUUAACCUUUUAUAAGUGUUUCUUCUGACCCAGGCAGAAUAGUAUAUUAUGGUGCAUGUGCAUGAAUUAUCUCACAAAGUGAGUUGUAUUAUUCCCAUUUUUACAAAUGACAAAUUUGAGACUUAGUCAAGACAUUUUCCCCAAAUCAUACAGCUGGUAAGUGGCAGAACUGUGUUUGGUUUCUUUCUGUUGAAUUUAAUGGUGCCCUACUUAGUGAAAAUCUAAUUGAUGAAAUUCAAACACACAGAACCAGUCAAUUAAUUCAUGAACAUUUUCCUUACCGAUUAGAGAAUGCCCUUUCACUACUCCAGGUUUCUACAAGAACUGUUUCCAGGCCCCUCUCAAUGCUUCAACCUUUUUACCUCUGAUGAUACAGAUUAUAUUUGGACAGGAUAACUAGACAUGUCAGAAUUACCUUUGCUGCAUUCUUCCUCUUGAGUGGUGCAGCCUGUAGGGGAAGAUUUUAUCUGCUGCCUUCCCUGCGGGCCUGUCCCAAGCCCAUGGCUGCCCAUAGUUGUGUAACCAUAACUCUUCAAUCUGGAGGUUAGUAUUAGCCAGACCUGCCUGGCUACCAGACCUAAAACCAUUCCUUCCAUCCUGGAUGCUUAUCUUACUCUUUGAUCUUAUCCUCGACUUUUCAAAACAGGGAAAAGGCUGCCUAUUUCUGGAGUUCUCCAGGAGGCCAUCUGCUGCAUCCCCAGAAUCAUCACAGAGUGAAUUAAAGUUUCAUUUUGGGCUCUAAACAAUCUGUGGAGUAGAGGCAGGUUAGAGAAGACAACAAGCAGGCAGAAAUAGUAGAAAGAGGUGAAAGUGGAAACCAAAAACUUCACAAUGAGCCGAAAAUCAUUCAGAAUUAAAGCAAGAAGCUUCACAAGAUAAGUUAAGGGAAAACAGCAAAUUUUGUCAAACCAGGUGUCAUCUCUGACCUGCACUGUGAAAUAGCUAACACAGGUCCCCAUUUGUGCUUUUGCCAAUGUAUAGUCAGAACAACAGCCAGAUAAACUUUUUACUUCUUUUUUUUUUAUCACAUGAGAUGACAUUGGAACAGCCAGAUAAACUUUCAAAAUUAAAUAAUUUUAUUCACCAUCUUAAAAUUCUCUAACAAUUUCUAACUGCAUUUAGAAUAAAGUCCUAAGUCUCUCUAAAUGCAAGUUCUAUUUAAUUCCUACCUCCCUGACCUCCUCUCUUGACCUUCUCUGCUUCAUGUGCCAUGCCUGAUGAAGCUUAUUUCUGCCUCAGGACCUUUAUACUUGCUGUCUUCUGUUUUUAGAACAUGAUUUUAUUUUGAUCCUCUAGAAACUUAAAGAAAGAAGAUAAACCCGAGAAAACUCCAGCCUAGUCUGAAUUGAGCAGUCAUUAUUUUGUUCUAGUAAGUCAAUUGCUAUGAUGGGGAACAUGACCCAUCGACCUAGAGAUAGCCAGAAUUUUCAAGGGAAUGGCCAGAAAUCUGAAAUUUUAUGUAAAAUUCCUUAAUACUUAAAAGUUGACAAUUAUAUCAAACCAGGAUUAUAGCCACUAAUAUAACAUGAAAUCCCAAGCAAUAUUAGCAUAAAUUUAAAAUGUUUUCUUCAUUAAAGGUGGUUUAGAACUGAUCCAGCAUCCCCAGAGAGACCAGGGGUCCAGGUUCCUUCCAGUUUUGUGCUGUUACUCUCAGCCUGUGACACUUCUCUUCAUGACCCAGUACAGUUGUAAGAGAUCUAAACCCCUGGCAUCAGGAUGGAGGGCUGGCUAUAAGACGGAGACAUCUGCUGUUUUAAGGGAAGUAUCACAGAGUACCUCCGCUUAAUAUUGGCUAGAUUUUAGCCUUCAACUAACUGCAGAGCAAGUUGGGAAAUGUAAUCUUUAUGUCAGGGCUUUCAGGAGAGAGAAUAAAGGAAAAAAGACUUUUGAGGGCAACCACUAAUAGUUUUAAGUUAUGGUAGCUGUAUCAGUAGUCAGGGUCAUCUGGAAAAACAGAACCAUUAGGACAAACACAACAAAUCUGAACUUCUUAGGGGAGGCCAGCAGGUGGAAAUUCAAGCAAGAUUUUUAUAUUACUGUGUAGGCAGAAUUCUUUUCUAGACAGCUUCAGAUUUUGCUCUCAAGAUAUUACACCUAGGGCUGGGGAUUUAGCUCAGCAGCAUAAGCACCUGCCUUGCAAGCAGGCGGUCAUGAGUUCGAUCCCUGGUACUGAUUUAAAAAAAAAAGAUAUUACACUUAUUUAAUGAAUACCACCCACACUACUGAGGAUAACAUCCUUUAUUUAAGGUCAACUGAUUAUAGAUGUUAAUCACAUCUACAAAAUAUAUUCACAGACAUUUAGUUUAGUGUUUGCACAAAAUGCUGAGGCUCAUAGCUUAGCCAAACUGACCUAUAAAAUUUACUAGUAAUUUAAACAUUAAAAAAAAAAAAAAACUACAGCGAAACAAUACCUGUUUAUGAGCUGGGCUCAACUUACAGACUCCCAACACCAAGUAUUUUCUCUAAAUGGGACAGCAAGUAGCUUGGCCCCUAAAAUUUUAUACCCCUGUAUAACUGGAGUCACAUACACCAUAAAAAGAACUCUGCCAUUAAGGCACAAAGUCCUGCCCUUCCUAGGAGACUAUGCAUAAAUAGUCUGAGUUUGUUCUUUUAACUGCUGUGCCAGUGAGAUUCUGUUUGACAAACAGAACUUUUUUCUCUAACCUUUUCUAACUUGGGACAUUAUUGCCACUGUAAGACCCAACUUUUUGUUGCUAAGUAGUGAUGUAGAGAAUCUCUGGAGGGUGAGGAGAAAGGAGGAGAUAAUAAACUAGAGGUCACAAAGAGUCCAUGGCUUUUUCAGUCUGUAAUUGCUACCCAGUCCAUCGCCUGUCCCUCUCCUGACCGAGGAAGGUGACCAUUUUACUCUCUUCACAAAGUUCUGUUUAACUUGUGUUUCUCUUUCAACACUGACCUUGAAACAGCCCAGAAAAUGGAAGCACGCUGCAAAAUUGGUUUGUCAUUGACUUGCAAAAGGCUUUAUAUAUUAUGAAUGUUUUUGAGUUUCUUAUAUGUAUUAUGAUUAUUUUUCCUAAUUUUUAAAAUGUUAUGAUAUCUUUCCUUGUAAUGCUGUAUAUGCUUUCAGCUUUGCUGAGUACUGUAUAUUUGGACAAUGUAAGCAUUAGACAUGUGACUAAAAAGGGCCCUCAAAAAGAAUUGAUGCAUAAAUUAUAUCUCAUAAGAAUGUAAUUUCAUUAGAAAUUGAGAAGAUAGACUUAACACUGUUUUGGGAAAAUAUGCACCUUUGUGAUAUUUCUCAAUCCCAGCAAUAAAUUAGUUUUAUGCAACAAUCAUCAUAUGGAAAUAAUGCAUUAUAAUACAGUGAAUCUUUGUUAGACUCCCAUAGGGAGCCAAUCUGGUUUAAAUUCUUUUCCCUGAUGUCUCAGUUUUCAAAAGUAAGUCGUUACUGUGAUUUUGUUUCUACUGCAAAGUUCACCGAGAGCCAUUAUAUCUGAAGAAAUCAAAAAUAGAAAUUGGGUCCAGAUCAUUGUGGUCAUUUAACUAAUCUUUGGGGAACAAAAUAGCUCUCUAGCUUACCGUACCUGAGUAUUUCCUUCUUUUAAAUGGAUUUCAUCUCUGUCAAACUUAUGCUAUUGAUAGUUAAAAAAAAAAAAAAAAUCAUAGUUUGUGUGAGGGUGCUACUCAUUGAAGGCAUUGCCCCAAAUUGUUCUUUUGUGGUAUCAGUCUUGGACAAAAUGAAAACAGAUUUUUCCUCUGCUAAAUUCCUUAGUGCAGCCCAGAGUACUCUUAGUUAUUUUCUUUUUGCUGGGGCAAAGUAACCCACAGUUUAAAGAAGGAGAGGCUUAUUUUGGCUCAUGGUUAUUAGAGGAUUCAGUCUACAGUCAGCUGAGUCCAAGGCAGGAAGGGUAUGGUAGAAGGAUCUGGGGUGGAGGAAGCUGUUCAAGUCAUGGUGGGUGCAAAGCAGAGAGAAAGGGAGGAGUUGGGGAGGGAAUUAUGCCCCUCCACCUCCGAGGCCUGCUUCUGGCCAGGCCGCACCGACCAACAACAGGUUCAGCUACGAAUUAAGACUACGGUUCAUCCAAAGCAACACUUGUUUAAAAGAACCAAAACCAAAACCAAAACCAAGAAACUCCUCUCUUUUGUAAUAUGAUAACUGUAAAUGUAAUUUCUUUUUGUUUUGUUUUUUGCGGUCUUGGGGAUCAAACACAGGCAGGGUCUUGUGUGUUCUUGGCAAAUGCUGCACCACUGAGCUGUGUCUCCAUCUGUGUGUGUGUGGGUGGGUGGGUGUGUUUAUUUUUAAAAGUAUACUGCCUCACACACCUGUGCUCAGGUGAUUUUCCUGCCUUGGCCUCCUAUAGGUAUGUUCUACUACACCAAGUUCUAAAUGUAAUUUCUAAUCUUUUUUUUUUUUUUUUUUUUUUUUUUUUUUUGUAGAUAAGGUCUUGCUCUAUAGUUAAGGCUGGCCUCAAACUUGUAGCAAUUUUCCUGGCUCAACAUCCCAAGUGGUAGUAUUAUAGAAGUGUGCCACUACAUCUGGUUAUUUCUAAUAACCUUAAGAGGUUAUUUGCUUUACAAUGUUACAGCAAUUUUUAAAACUGUAGAAUCUAACCAUUUGAAGAAUUCUAAUAAUUCCUAGAUACACUUUAUAAAAUGUUGCACACACCUUUAAAAAAAUAAUUCAUUGAUAAAACUGACACAUGAACACCAAUAGUCUGUGGCCCAGAGCAUGGUGUAAGUGAUGUAGGGACCAGGUCUAGGGAGAUACAGGCAAGCUGAGCUCCCAGCCCGAAUUCUUGCACUGUUCCUGUGAGAACCUCUUCUUAUCUCUGGAGCCAUGGCCCCUGCCACUGUGAGUACUGCUUCUGCUGCUACCAUGGAUACCUCUGCAGCACUGGCCUAGAUCCUAGCCUCCUUCCUGUACCUGGUGGCCUUGAGGCAUCCAUGUGCAUGCUGGGGACAGUACUGUCAGAACCCAGUGCAUUUAUGCAGGCGUUACGCCCUGGUGAGUUUAUACCAUUCACAAGUAUGAGCCCUGUUCCAUUGAACUUCAUACACCAAAAAGAAGUUCAAAGAUACAAUUAUUAAAAAUUAAGACAGCAACAGGAGAGGAUCAACCGAGGCAUGGCCCCUCCUGUGAGGGGGAUUUUGUGCAGGACACAGGCUCCAGCCCUUGAAGCUGACCCUGCAUACAGUCAGAGUCUUCAAAGUGUCAGAAUUGGGGUAAGUAGAGAAAAGUGAGUAGGAAUGACGGAGGCUGACAGAUUUCCUUCAUGAUCUUAACUAAAAGCAGUAGGUUGUUGAUAAAUCUGCAUCAUUUCCCUACUGGAAUGUGUGUUCUUUGAAAGCAAGAAUCUUAUCUUACAUAACCCUGUAUUCCUCUCAAGACCUACCUCUGUGUGUUACACAUUGUAGAUGUUACUUAAAUAUGAUUCAAUGAUAAAUUAUUCUAUCUUCAAGGCAGUAACAUGCAGAGUCAGAAAUGAUCGUUCUUUUUAUUUAAGGCAUUAAACUAAUCAAAGUUGAUACAAGAACAACCUUGAGACGCUUGCCUGAUCCAGGAGGAGGGUCAUCAUUAGUGUUUCCUGUAAGUACUCCACAGCUGUGCCCUUAAGUAAACUUCCUGGAUUUGUUAAGUGAAAACUGUCUGGCUUUGCCUGCCCUUACAGAGCCCCUGGGUGAGUCGUUCUUUGUUUCUAGGACCUAGUUCUUUUCAGGAUCUAAAAUGAAGAUGGCAAUAUUAUUUACCAAGAGUUUCCAAAGGUAAUUUUAUAAUAUUAUCUGAGAUCAAACCAUGAAAGACUAGUGACUGGGAAAACCUAAUCAGAAUAUACCAUGUGCAAGUGGGAGAUGCUGAGGGCAGUCUGCAAGGCUUAUAAUUUUGCCUAUAAUUUUUUAAGAAAUACUGUUCCUGGAGUAGAAAAAUCAGAGUAAGUAGAAGUAGAAAUUGUGGCAGGCAGCCAAGUUAGUCAGAAAUAUUACAGACAGUGAGACAGGGCUAGGUCCUCAAAGAGCCAGUGCAGAAGCCCGGAUAGUUUGCAACUGUGGGGGAGACAGACCUCCUGUUGUGGGCCUCAAGACAAAGGAUCAAACAAAUGCAUCCACAUCCUAAAGACUGAUAUUCUAAAUAGCUCCCUAUCACCCUGGAGUCACUCUCCCAUCCCCCUAGGGGAAAGGUCACAGCUCCAAGAAUGCCCCUUCCAAUGUGACUGGCUUUCCCAUUUGUCCCCAGUGUAAUCAGUUUUACCUAAACUAUUGAUCUUAUUGGCUAACUAUAGUUAUGUCCCACCUUAUGCCCAUCUGCUUUGUGAGUUCCCAGUCCCCCCACCCCCCACAGCCUUGAUCCCAGGGUUUUACUCUAUAAAAGUCCCUGAAAAAGACAGAACUCUGGGAAACCUGCUCGGGACCCCCUUCAGUCUCUCUCAGACUGAAGCUUUCUUUCUCUCAAUAAAUAUAUUGUGCUCUUAA